UAAGGAAUAUUGCUCAAUGGGAGAAAUCCUGAAGCAGCAACGCCGCGUGGAGGAUGAAGGGUUUUUAACUUGUAAACUCCUGUAAAGAAGGAAAAAAUUCCCAUUAGAUGGGAAAUGAUGGUACUUCUGGAGUAAGCCCCGGCUAACUACGUGCCAGCAGCCGCGGUAAUACGUAGGGGGCAAGCGUUGUCCGGAUUUACUGGGUGUAAAGGGUGCUCAGGCGGAUUUGUAAGUCAGAGGUGAAAUCUCACAGCUUAACUGUGAAACUGCCUUUGAUACUGCAAGCCUAGAGUAUGGAAGAGAGUGAUGGAAUAUCUGGUGUAGCAGUGAAAUGCGUAGAUAUCAGAUAGAACACCAAUGGCGAAGGCAGUCACUUGGUCCAUAACUGACGCUAAAGCACGAAAGCGUGGGUAGCAAACAGGAUUAGAUACCCUGGUAGUCCACGCCCUAAACGAUGAAUACUAGAUGUUGGCUUCGCAUGAAGUCUGUAUCUGAGCUAACGCAUUAAGUAUUCCACCUGGGAAGUACGAUCGCAAGGUUGAAACUCAAAGGAAUUGACGGGGUCAUAGCUGUUUCCUG
rnacentral:rRNA from 1 species